GACGAACGCUGGCGGCGUGCCUAAUACAUGCAAGUCGAGCGGAUCUUGUCCUUCGGGGCAAGGUUAGCGGCGGACGGGUGAGUAACACGUAGGCAACCUGCCUGCAAGACCGGGAUAGCAUUCGGAAACGAAUGCUAAUACCGGAUACGCAGUCUGAUCGCAUGAUUGGGCUGGGAAAGACGGCGCAAGCUGUCACUUGCAGAUGGGCCUGCGGUGCAUUAGCUAGUUGGUGAGGUAACGGCUCACCAAGGCGACGAUGCAUAGCCGACCUGAGAGGGUGAUCGGCCACACUGGGACUGAGACACGGCCCAGACUCCUACGGGAGGCAGCAGUAGGGAAUCUUCCGCAAUGGACGAAAGUCUGACGGAGCAACGCCGCGUGAGUGAUGAAGGUCUUCGGAUCGUAAAGCUCUGUUGCCAGGGAAGAACAGCCGGGAGAGUAACUGCUCCUGGAAUGACGGUACCUGAGAAGAAAGCCCCGGCUAACUACGUGCCAGCCGCCGCAGUAAUAC
rnacentral:rRNA from 1 species